rnacentral:misc_RNA from 1 species
AAAGUCGUAACAAGGUUUCCGUAGGUGAACCUGCGGAAGGAUCAUUAACACGUAUCCAUACGUAUUAUAUACCAAACCGUGAACUCGUUUGUAACAUGUGAAGAAUUGGAACGAGGGUAAAACCGAGUUCUAGUUCUGUAUCUUAUUACAACUUAUAAACCACUAGUAAACCAUUGAACUAAACCUAAGAAAUGUAAAGCUUGCUUUACAUAUCUGUAUUUACGAAACGUAAAAACAAUUCUUAGCAACGGAUAUCUUGGUUCUC